rnacentral:lncRNA from 1 species
CAAGAUAUUUAUAAAAUCAUAACAUUUUAUAUUUACUUUUCAUUAAAAAAAUUUUACUUUGAUAUACUUUGACCCACGUGCUAUUGAUGGCCCAUGAGUCGUGUGCUAGCCCAUCAAUGAAGCGUGCUUAUUUCAUGCCUUUUCGCGUAUCGUGUUUUGAUCCAUCUCUAAUCGUGUUGUGCUUUUAAGGCCCAUGCACUUAAAAUUCUAAGCUCGGCCCAGCCCACGUGCGUGCCAUAUCAUGCCACCUGUCGCCUGUUGAGUGCUAGAAAAUGUAUAUUUAUAAAAGAGAAAAUCGUUAGUUUACAUUUCAAGUCUUACUAACACCUUUACUUUUAUGUAUUUAAGAUUCUUGUGAUUUAAUUACGUGUGUUUUAUUUUAAUUAAGUAUUUUAUGUAUUUUAGGGGCAUCGUUGUCAUUUCACAAUUAAUAAGAAAUCAUACGGUAAAACAGACAUCACUUUUGAACUCAGGACAGUCGAAAACCUUAGGAGGAGUAUAAAAGGAAAAAUAUUACUGUUCACAUGUACGACACGAUUCACAUGUACGAUACUGUCCAUGAUACUGUUCACGACACUAUUCACACAUACGGAAUGAUGACGUGGCAUUGACCGAUGAUGUGGCAUUGACUGAUGAGGUGUCACGAUUCUAUUGGACAAAAUUUAUAUACACUGUUGAUCGGUGAUGUGACAGCAUGUUAGUGAACCAAAAAUCGCGUGUACGGUACAUGCAUAUACACAGGAUUAUUUUCAACCAAACCGCGUCACUGUUCAAGCCGGUUGACUGUUCAAACUGCGUGCUUAAACCGUGUCACUGUUCAAACUGCGUGGUCAAACCGCGUACUAUUGACUGAUGACGUGGCACAAUCCUGAGCGUCCAAACUAUUUUUAAUCUGAUGGCCAUGAUUUAUUCAAUGUAUCUAUAAAAAGGGGGCCUCCCCUCCCCCUAAUUUGAUACUUUUGAAUCCAUUUUUGGGCUCCAUUUUUUAUAAUUCCUUCUUCAUCUUGUACUUUCUACGUAUUUUAAUAAAUUUCUAUUUUGCCCCUAGUUCAAUUAUGAGUAGCUAAUUUUCUUUCAAGCUUGGGUUGAAGGUGAAGUCUUAACAUAUGUCAUGGGCUUUAUUUGGUAAAUUUACUUUCUCUUCCCCUCUAGUUUUUGUGGAUGUUUUGACUUUUCGUCGACAAAUAAUAAUAAUCUUGUCUAGAUACCGCCCUGGUUUUAUCGGCUCCCUAGUACAAGGUUAUUAUUAUUUGGCACGAUAAGUCCUUAGCACCAUAUUGAUUAGAGUGUGGUUCAUGAGGCGUGGAUUCCUCCCUCAUGAUUUAAUUGGCACUAAUAAGGAAUAUUUAGCCCAUGGUGCAUGUUGAUACGGAUUCAUAUACACAAGUGCCGCAUUUCAAUAGAAUUUGCUUCAAUUUAUUCUCGCCAUUUUAAUUCAAAUUUUAGGAUAAUCUAAUUACUUUCACCCCAAAUCCAACCACCCAUUUAGAAAAUUAAUUCUACACAUAAUUAAAAUUCACCUCGUCGUGGGAUCAACACUCGUCACCAUUGAUCUAUACUACAAUAGAUUCGUGCACUUCCGAGUUCAAUAAAAUUUGCACAACAAGUUUUUGGCGCCGUUGCUGGGGAGGUAAGUUAUUUUAAUUUGUAGAAUUAAUU